rnacentral:rRNA from 1 species
GAUGAACGCUGGCGGCGUGCCUAAUACAUGCAAGUCGAGCGAACAGACGAGGAGCUUGCUCCUCUGACGUUAGCGGCGGACGGGUGAGUAACACGUGGAUAACCUACCUAUAAGACUGGGAUAACUUCGGGAAACCGGAGCUAAUACCGGAUAAUAUAUUGAACCGCAUGGUUCAAUAGUGAAAGACGGUUUUGCUGUCACUUAUAGAUGGAUCUGCGCCGCAUUAGCUAGUUGGUAGGGUAACGGCUUACCAAGGCAACGAUGCGUAGCCGACCUGAGAGGGUGAUCGGCCGCACUGGAGCUGGGACACGGUCCAGACUCCUACGGGAGGCAGCAGUAGGGAAUCUUCCGCAGUGGGCGAAAGCCUGACGGAGCAACGCCGCGUGAGUGAUGAAGGUCUUCGGAUCGUAAAACUCUGUUAUUAGGGAAGAACAAAUGUGUAAGUAACUAUGCAGGUAUUGACGGUACCUAAUCAGGAAGCAACGGCUAACUACGUG